AUUGAACGCUGGCGGCAGGCCUAACACAUGCAAGUCGAGCGGAUGACGGGAGCUUGCUCCUGGAUUCAGCGGCGGACGGGUGAGUAAUGCCUAGGAAUCUGCCUGGUAGUGGGGGACAACGUUUCGAAAGGAACGCUAAUACCGCAUACGUUCUACGGGAGAAAGCAGGGGACCUUCGGGCCUUGCGCUAUCAGAUGAGCAUAGGUCGGAUUAGCUAGUUGGUGAGGUAAUGGCUCACUAAGGCGACGAUCCGUAACUGGUCUGAGAGGAUGAUCAGUCACACUGGAACUGAGACACGGUCCAGACUCCUACGGGAGGCAGCAGUGGGGAAUAUUGGGCAAUGGGCGAAAGCCUGAUCCAGCCAUGCCGCGUGUGUGAAGAAGGUCUUCGGAUUGUAAAGCACUUUAAGUUGGGAGGAAGGGCAGUAAGCGAAUACCUUGCUGUUUUGACGUUACCGACAGAAUAAGCACCGGCUAACUCUGUGCCAGCCGCCGCAGUAACAC
rnacentral:rRNA from 1 species